GACAAACGCUGGCGGCAUGCCUAACACAUGCAAGUCGAACGGACAGGCCAGGGAAGCUUUUCGGAGUGGAACUGGAAAGUUAGUGGCGGAUGGGUGAGUAACGCGUGGACAACCUACCUUGUAAAGGGGAAUAACCUCGAGAAAUCGAAGCUAAUACCCCAUAAUAACCUUGCUUCGCAUGAAGUAAGGAGGAAAGGCGGCCUUAGCGCUGUCGAUACAAGAUGGGUCCGCGUCUGAUUAGCUAGUUGGUGAGGUAAAGGCUCACCAAGGCGACGAUCAGUAGCCGGCCUGAGAGGGUGAACGGCCACAUUGGGACUGAGACACGGCCCAAACUCCUACGGGAGGCAGCAGUGGGGAAUCUUCCGCAAUGGGCGAAAGCCUGACGGAGCAAUGCCGCGUGAGUGAAGAAGGCCUUCGGGUUGUAAAACUCUGUCCUUAUCGAAGAGAGAGUGUUGUAGUAACUGACAAUACUAGGACGGUAGAUGAGGAGGAAGCCCCGGCUAACUAUGUG
rnacentral:rRNA from 1 species